rnacentral:lncRNA from 1 species
GGCCCCACUACACUGUGCUGGAUCGCUCUGAUGAUGCUUAUCUUCUUGUUCUCUCCUCUCCUCUAAUAUCACGUCUCCUCUUCUCCACAGUUCUGCCUGACAGCCCAGAGGCUGGGUUGGAGGAUGAGCGCUGCCCCCUGCAGACGGGCUGUGACAGAGCGGGGGCCAUGUGUGUGUGUGACGCUCGUCAAUCCUGCCUGGGCUCCUUCGCCUACCCUGACAUGGAAUCCUGCAUGAGGGCCGGCAAGACAGAGAGCCGUAGACAUGAGCACCGGGACAGGCAGAGGGAGAAGUUUGUGGGCCCCUCCAACCCAGCCUGCAUGUUUUCUGGGUGCAACCUGACAGGACAGGUCUGUGUGUGUGAGUCCCAGAGCUGCCACCACCACUUCACCUACAUCAACCGCAGCCAGUGCCAGGAGGCCGCAGGUAACCUUAAACUAACCUAAAACUAACUAACAACUGCUUAAGUCAUAUUGCAGAAAGUGGGCUGAUACAGUGAACAAAAUGUAGAUGCAGAUUCAUAAACAGAUCCAACCUUUUUUAUCCUACAAAAUCCUUGUAUGCUGUCUUUUACACAAUCUCUAUUUGAGUUGAUCUCAGCUUAUUAAGCAUAUGGGGUAAUAGUGAUAGGCAUGUACCCUAAUAUUUAUGUAGAGUCAUGUGCUACCUGACUCAUACAGUACAGCGAGUCAGCACAACGAGGUGUAGUAGACAACCAGUCAGUCUAUUUCGAAGUCCUUUCCAUGCCAACACUGAGACAGACAGAAAGGCAGAGAGAAGUUAUAAUAUGAGGAGAAUGCACUGUGGAAAUAUGAAGUGUUAUAAAUCUGCGUACACAGUGUUCAGGCAGUAAAGUGUAACAGUAUAGUGUGUAGGCUGAAUGCUGUCCCUGUCCGGGGUUAAAGCCCUGAGUGAGGCGGAAGAUGGAACUCCACAGAGCUCAGGUACCUGAGUUACUAUUAUGGGCUGGUUGUUUAAAUGUGGUUCAUAGGCCAAGUGUAAGUAUUCAUGUAGCUGACUCUCUGACUGGCACUUCUAAGUGAGAAUUGUUAUUAAGGUGGGUUCUAUUUCGCCCCUUUGACAGAACUGUGAGAGAGAUGCAUAAAGCCAAUAUUGCAGCUCUCUCUGUACGUAUGAAGAACAUUGGUCUCAUUGAAAAAGUGCCAGUGAGUGAACUCAGAGACUCUCUCUGUCUCGCUGUGUUAGUUAUCAUUAGUUGCUU